rnacentral:rRNA from 1 species
UGGCGGCAGGCCUAACACAUGCAAGUCGAGCGGAACGAGUUAUCUGAACCUUCGGGGAACGAUAACGGCGUCGAGCGGCGGACGGGUGAGUAAUGCCUAGGAAAUUGCCCUGAUGUGGGGGAUAACCAUUGGAAACGAUGGCUAAUACCGCAUGAUGCCUACGGGCCAAAGAGGGGGACCUUCGGGCCUCUCGCGUCAGGAUAUGCCUAGGUGGGAUUAGCUAGUUGGUGAGGUAAGGGCUCACCAAGGCGACGAUCCCUAGCUGGUCUGAGAGGAUGAUCAGCCACACUGGAACUGAGACACGGUCCAGACUCCUACGGGAGGCAGCAGUGGGGAAUAUUGCACAAUGGGCGCAAGCCUGAUGCAGCCAUGCCGCGUGUGUGAAGAAGGCCUUCGGGUUGUAAAGCACUUUCAGUCGUGAGGAAGGUAGUGUAGUUAAUAGCUGCAUUAUUUGACGUUAGCGACAGAAGAAGCACCGGCUAACUCCGUGCCAGCAGCCGCGGUAAUACGGAGGGUGCGAGCGUUAAUCGGAAUUACUGGGCGUAAAGCGCAUGCAGGUGGUUUGUUAAGUCAGAUGUGAAAGCCCGGGGCUCAACCUCGGAAUAGCAUUUGAAACUGGCAGACUAGAGUACUGUAGAGGGGGGUAGAAUUUCAGGUGUAGCGGUGAAAUGCGUAGAGAUCUGAAGGAAUACCGGUGGCGAAGGCGGCCCCCUGGACAGAUACUGACACUCAGAUGCGAAAUUCGUGGUGAGCAAACAGGAUUAGAUACCCUGGUAGUCCACGCCGUAAACGAUGUCUACUUGGAGGUUGUGGUCUUGAGCCGUGCCUUUCGGAGCUAACGCGUUAAGUA